rnacentral:lncRNA from 12 species
AUUUAAUGUGUUGUUAAUUGAAUUACACUGGAAUAGGUUCUUCAGAUGUAUUAAGGAAUUGGAAAUAGUCUAGAUAGUUGAGGCUAGGCUAUGUUGUAGUAACAAACAAGCCUGUAAAUGUUAGUGACUUAACACACAAAGGUUUAUUUCUCAGUCAUGCAAAAUGCACCACAGAUCUGGAAAUUCUGCAGACCAGUUCCUUUUCAAAUGCUGACUCCAAGGUCGGGGCCUGUAAUGCCUUGUAACUCUGCCAUCUAAAACAGGAGGCUUCCAGGUCCCCAUCACAGGAAAAGAGAGCCACGCACUGGUUCCCAAAUACUUUGGUCUGGAACUGACACACCUUACUUCUGCUCACAGCCUUUUGGCCACAAUUGAGUGACCUGCAAGAGGACAGAGAAAUGCAACAGAGAACAGCAGGAAAUGCCUCUUCCAUAGAGAGAGCGCAAAGGUGAAUCCAGGGAUCAAUAUCUACAUUAAAUUUUCAGUCUGAUGUGUUCAUUUAAGGGGCACCUGGGUGGCUCAGCGGUUGAGCAUCUGCCUUUGGCCCAGGCCCUGAUUCCCCAGGGGGCCGCGAUCGAGUCCCAUGUCGGGCUCCCUGCAUGGAGCCUGCUUCUCCCUCUGCCUGUGUCUCUGCCUCUCUCCCUCUCUGUGUCUCUCAUGAAUAAGUAAAUACAAUCUAAAAAAAAAAAAAAAAGACAAAUCAGGAAAUUUGUUAAUUAUUAUUUGAACAGGUAACACAUUAUUUCAAAAGAAUUCAUGACCUCAAGAUCAGGGAGUUAGUUCAUCCCCUCCCCUUUCUGUUUUACAGGAAGGGACACAGGGUGCAGUGGAAUCAGGCGCUUGCAGGGGUCGGAGAGAGCGCGGGUCCUGAGGGGGCGGGCAGGGCGUGCAGCACCGCUGGGGACACAGAGACUGAGCGUCAGGGGCGGGUCAGCGAAGGGCACGUUCGGCCACGAGGCACACGCGGCCCCAGCACGCGUCCCGGAGGAAACCGAAUCUCGCGGGAUCUCAGGAGUUCCCGUGGGACGAGAAAAACCUGGCUGCGCAGCGGAGUGGAAGGCGUUCCUCUCAGACUUGUCCCAAAGGCCUGUGGCUCAGGCCACUUCGCACGCAAACCCCAGUCCUCGUGGCCGCCUCGCUCCCUCACUCAGAGUCACGGUGCUGCGGUGCUUCUCCCCAGAGGCCGGGAAAGGCAGCUGCGGGGGCGUCUAAAGUUCAUCUCAGGAGACCAUUGCUGCCUGUUCCUUGCACCUUUCCCCUGAACGUCGUGUGUCUCGGAGCCUUAUCUCUGACGGAGCUCGUCUGUCAGCACCCGGUGAUGGGGAAGAUGGCGUCUUCACCCACUCCCCUUCAUCGCCCCCGACUGAACAACGGAACUGUCGGUGAGAGGCGUUCCUCUGCCGUAGAAAAACAGGUAUGUCCUUCCAGCUGGUCUUCUGGGGGGAGGGGCCCGGUGUGCUGA